CAGCGGGGCCGGCCCGGGCUGGGGCUGUCCUGCGCCCGUCUGCGCGGUGUCCUUGACGUGGCAGGCAGCGCGCUAGGACCCGGCCGGGAGCCGCAGGCAGCACUGCUGGCAGCGCUCUGCCUGAACGGUGCGGAUCCUGCCCUGCCAGCCGGCAGCGCCGCGGGAAGGAGCCUGCCAGCUCCGGGGAAAAGCAUGGAUCCCAGCACCUCCAUGACUGCAGCUGCAAAGCAAGGUCAGCAGCAGCACUGCUGGGCACCAUGCAGCAGCUCGGCCUUGCUAUGAAGCUUCUUCCCAGCAGUACCAUCCCAGGACACAGCACUAGCAAAAACCAGGUCGGGUCGUGCAAGGAAGCAGAGGGACAGCGGGGCACUGGAGGUCUGUGUGGCUCCCUGCAAGCGGUGACGUGCCCAGCUGGAUCUCUGCGCCACGGGCAGAGCUCAGGAGGGGAUCGCAGCCUGCUCCUGUCCCACCUCAUCCCAGCCAGGCUUAGGCCAUCAGGUCUCCUGCUCACCCAAAGGAAGACAUCAUUAGACCCCAUCCUGCAAGUCAGUGGUGGGUGGGCGCACAGGUCUGUGCAGAGAAGCAGCUGGUGGCCCAUGUGGACGGAAGAGAUAUACUUAGGAGCUGGAAGCUGCCUUUCUCCUUGCCUUCUUUCUGGUAUAUCUGCUGGCCUUCUGUCUGCCUGCGGUCACUGGUGGCUGCAACGCUGUUCAGCGCUAAUGGAUUUCAACCCUCUUGUCUCCACUGAGACAUCUCUAUUGAGAGAUGUUGGUUCCAGUGCUGAGGAGCGGCUGCGCAGACAGGACCAGAGCUGUGAAUUAGAGAACAUUUAA
rnacentral:lncRNA from 1 species